GGCGGGGACAGCAAGGACCUCUGCUCGAGGUGCAGGCGCGAGAGCCUAGCUGAAGCGGGGGGAACGGGCGCCGCGUGCGCACCCGCCACCUGGCUCAGCGCCGUGGGACCACACCCCGCAGCCCGGCGGUCCAGGUCAUCACCAGCAGUGACCAGUCCCGUGGCUAGCGUCUUCCCCUGAUGCGAUGUGGAACAAAUGGCACUCGACCUCUGUAGUUUUCCUCCGAAAACUCGUAACCCCGGUCUAAUCCUGAGAAGAACGCCCGACAAGUCCCGAUGGGGAGAGAUUCUGCAAAAUCCAUGAGCAGUGCCCUCAAAGCUGUCAAGGUCAUCAAGACCAAGGAAGGCUGCCGCUGGUGUGGCUCAGUGUUUGAGCAUCCACCUAUGAACCAGGAGGUCAGGGUUCAGCUCUCGGCCAGGGCCCAUGCGGGGGUUGAGGGCUCGGUUCCCAGAAGGGUGUGUGCAGGAGGAAGCGAAUCAAUGAUCUCUUUCAUCACUGGUGUUUCUAUCCCUCUCUCUUCCUCUCUGAAAUCAAUAAAAUAAGGAAAGUCUGAGCAAGCGUCACAGCCAAGAAGAGCCUAAUGAGGCAUGACAACUAAAUGUAACCUGGGAUCGCCCUGGCUGGUUUGGCUCCGCGGAUAGAGCCUCAGCCUGCAGACUGAAGGGUCCCAGGCACUGGUCCAGGGCACUUUCCAGGCUUGCAGGCUCGAUCCCCAGUAGGGGGCGUGCAGGAGGCAGCCAAUCAAUGAUUCUCAUCACUGAUGUUUCUUCUCUCUUCUCUGAAAUCAAUUAAAAAAUAUAUAUAUUUUUUAAGUGUG